UGUCAAGUACUUAAUGUUAAUCAUGGUUACAUCAGGGUUGAUCAAACCGGCCUUGUUACAACAACCUGGGAUGGCAGUGAUGUAAACAGUUAUACAUCUUUUCAAUAGGACCCGGGUAUUCAAGGAUUAAAGGGAUAGCUGCCGAUAGAUAUAUCCACAUGGACGAAGCCGGCUCCGUCCGAGGUAUCCCAGCAUCACAGAUCCCGGAACCAUACGAUGCGUCAGAUAGUCGGGGUGCGUGGUACGAGUCGCCGGGCUGGUGCUACGAAUCACAGUGGAUCCAAUGGUAUCGCAAAGGAGGUGUCCGAAACCAGCUUAAAUGGUAUCUAGCGUUCAACUUACGAGGACGGCCGAUUCGCGUACAACGUACACACGCCGGAAUGUGCAACGCCAUGUUCACGAAGACUCUAUCAACGGGUGUAUCAUGUAAUCCGAACGACGGCGGUUACACGAAUAACUGACGAGGAUUGCGAUGACGACGACGAUGUUGGAAUUGGCUAUAGCAGCUCAUUAUAUGGAGGUUCGUUAUACCGAAUGUUCAUUAGUCCGGAAAAUUCGAUAUACCGAACGUUCGUUUGUCCAGUGGUUUUGUUAUUUCGAAAAUGACAGGUUGAUUGAGGGGAGAAGGGCGUUAAAUAAUGAAUUUUAAGCUGGUAAACAAUCACACCGAAGAUAACCAACACAGAUAUACACAAUUGACAUUGCUUGGAGAAAGACCUAUAGGCCCCGUCUUACAAAUCAAGAGUUACGAUUGAUCCAAUCAGUCGUAACUGUAUGGAAAUCCAUCGGUGUCAUAUUUUUUUUUCUACAGGAAAUUUGCAAAAUGUUAUGUGUUAACAAAGGAGAUCACCCCAAUUUACCAAGAAAUCAGUGAAUAUUUAUGGAUAUACAUUCAUAUCUAGAUUUUUU
rnacentral:misc_RNA from 1 species